rnacentral:rRNA from 1 species
AGAGGAGUGAAAUAGAUCCUGAAACCUUACGCCUAGAAGCAGUUGGAGCUCUACGUGCUUGCACAGAGUGACAGCGUGCCUUUUGCAUAAUGAGCCAACGAGUUAUUUUUAGUAGCAAGGUUAAGCUAAAAGUGUAGCCGCAGCGAAAGCGAGUCUGAAUAGGGCGAAAGAGUUGCUAGGAAUAGACCCGAAACCGAGUGAUCUAUCCCUGUCCAGGUUGAAGCUUAGGUAAGACUAAGUGGAGGACCGAACCAUUGUACCUUAAAAAGUGCUUGGAUGAGGUGGGGAUCGGAGUGAAAGGCUAAUCAAACUCGGAGAUAGCUGGUUCUCCUCGAAAUAUAUUUAGGUAUAGCGUUAAGGAUAACUACCGGAGGUAGAGCACUGAAUGGACUAGGGGGCCUACCAGCUUACCAAACCCAAUCAGCCUCCGAAUGCCGGUAAGUUUAACCUUUGCAGUCAGACUGCGGGAGAUAAGUUUCGUAGUCGAAAGGGAAACAACCCAGACCAUCAGCUAAGGUCCCUAAAUUAUCACUCAGUGGAAAACGAUGUGGGAAGGCMCAGACAGCUAGGAGGUUGKCUUAGAAGCAGCCAUCCUUUAAAGAAAGCGUAAUAGCUCACUAGUCAAGUCGGCCCGCGCGGAAGAUUUAACGGGGCUUAAGAUAUGUACCGAAGCUGCGGAUGCAUAAUUUAUUAUGCAUGGUAGAGGAGCGUUCCGUACGCCUGUGAAGGUGAACCGUAAGGUUUGCUGGAGGUAUCGGAAGUGCGAAUGCUGACAUGAGUAACGAUAAUGAGGGUGAAAAACCCUCACGCCGAAAACCCAAGGUUUCCUGCGCAACGCUAAUCGGCGCAGGGUUAGUCGGUACCUAAGGCGAGGCCGAAAGGCGUAGUCGAUGGAAAACAGGUUAAUAUUCCUGUACCUUUUUUUACUGCGAUGGGGUGACGGAGAAGGCUAGGUCAGCCGAGUGUUGGAUGUCUCGGUUUAAGCGUGUAGAGAGUGUUCUUAGGAAAAUCCGGGAACACGUUAAUCUCGAGGCGUGAUGACGAAUCCUCUUUUGGAUGAAGUGAUUGAUGCCAUGCUUCCAAGAAAAACCUCUAAGCUUCAGGUAAUAAAAGACCGUACCCCAAACCAACACAGGUGGGUGGGAUGAGAAUUCUAAGGCGCUUGAGAGAACUCUGGUGAAGGAACUAGGCAAAAUAACACCGUAACUUCGGGAGAAGGUGUGCCCUUGGUAUGUGAAGCGACUUGCUCGCGGAGCAGACGAGGGUUGCAGUGACCAGGUGGCUGCGACUGUUUACUAAAAACACAGCACUCUGCAAACACGAAAGUGGACGUAUAGGGUGUGACGCCUGCCCGGUGCCGGAAGAUUAAAUGAUGGGGUGCAAGCUCUUGAUUGAAGUCCCGGUAAACGGCGGCCGUAACUAUAACGGUCCUAAGGUAGCGAAAUUCCUUGUCGGGUAAGUUCCGACCUGCACGAAUGGCGUAACGAYGGCCACACUGUCUCCACCAGAGACUCAGUGAAAUUGAAAUAGCUGUUAAGAUGCAGUUUACCCGCGGCUAGACGGAAAGACCCCGUGAACCUUUACUAUAGCUUUGCACUGAACUUUGAACCUAUUUGUGUAGGAUAGGUGGGAGACUUCGAAGCAGGAACGCUAGUUCUUGUGGAGUCAUCCUUGAAAUACCACCCUGGUAUGUUUAGGGUUCUAACCCAGGUCCGUUAUCCGGAUCGGGGACAGUGUAUGGUGGGUAGUUUGACUGGGGCGGUCUCCUCCCAAAGAGUAACGGAGGAGCACGAAGGUACCCUAAGGACGGUCGGAAAUCGUCCGCUUAGUGCAAUGGCAUAAGGGUGCUUGACUGCGAGAUAGACACAUCGAGCAGGUACGAAAGUAGGUCAUAGUGAUCCGGUGGUUCUGUAUGGAAGGGCCAUCGCUCAACGGAUAAAAAGGUACUCCGGGGAUAACAGGCUGAUACCGCCCAAGAGUUCAUAUCGACGGCGGUGUUUGGCACCUCGAUGUCGGCUCAUCACAUCCUGGGGCUGUAGCCGGUCCCAAGGGUAUGGCUGUUCGCCAUUUAAAGUGGUACGCGAGCUGGGUUUAGAACGUCGUGAGACAGUUCGGUCCCUAUCUGCCGUGGGCGUUGGAAAUUUGAGAGGAGCUGCUCCUAGUACGAGAGGACCGGAGUGGACGUACCCCUGGUGUUCGGGUUGUCAUGCCAAUGGCAUUGCCCGGUAGCUAUGUACGGACGGGAUAACCGCUGAAAGCAUCUAAGCGGGAAGCCCCCCUCAAGAUUAGAUUUCCCCGAGCUUUAAGCUCCUGAAGGGCCGUAGAAGACCACUACGUUGAUAGGUUGGGUGUGGAAGUGCAGUAAUGUAUGAAGCUAACCAAUACUAAUUGCCCGUGAGGCUUGACCAUAUAACCCCAAGUAAGUUGGG